ensembl:lncRNA
AGAAGCGUCAUUUCUCUGUUUUCUAUUUGGGGAGACAAGGACUUCUGAGGGGACAGAGUCUGAAGCGAGGCCAGUCAGAUUUCCUCUCUGAGUCUGAUGUCUUCUGAAUCUCUUGACACCACGGUUUCUAAGCAAAUGAAGAAAGUCCUACAAGGUUAGAGCCAGCUUCCUCUUCGCGAAACCCCAGGGUGACAUCACUUCUGUUGGGGCCAUCACCCUGGGACUGCAUCAGACAGGAAAUGUAACCCAGGCAGAGAAACAGCACUUAACAACAAGACAGUGGCUUCAGUUAGGAGCAAAUCUACUUUGAGGAACUUCUAUUUAUUGUCAGCCCCACAUACCCCAGUGCUGUGAACUGAAGCGUUGAACCUGGGCUUUGUGUGUGCCAGGCAUGUGCUUUACCACUGAGCUACACUCCCAGCCCUGGUCUGGGAGACUUUGAAGACCUAUUGUGCUGAGAUUCAGAAUAAGGUUUGGAUUUGGUAACAUUUGAAAUCAAAAACACGAGGAUGGAAAUUCUUGUUUGCUAAGGAUGGACCAUUCUAAACUCAGGAGUGGGGAAAGUAAAGCUCAUCAAGGAAUGAAGGAAAAUGAUAGAGCCAGUGACAGGGCAAGCAGGUGUGAGAGAGGAUGAACACAGGUGACAGGGCAGGCAGGUGUGAGAGAGGAUGAACACAGGUGACAGACAGGGCAGGCAGGUGUGAGAGAGGAUGAACACAGGUGACAGGGCAGGCAGGUGUGAGAGAGGAUGAACACAGGUGACAGACAGGGCAGGCAGGUGUGAGAGAGGAUGAACACAGGUGAUAGACAGGGCAGACAGGUGUGAGAAAAGAUGAACACAGGUGUUAGACAGGGCAAGUGUCAGUUAGUCUGGCUGAAAUGGUGAGCUCCAGCUCAGUGAGAGACCCUGCCUUAAAGAAUAAAGUA